UUUAAAGGGUAAUCUGGUAAAUAGCCUCUUAUGUCAUAAACAGAGACUUUUCAUCUCUCAUCUCUUUCUUCCCUGAGAAAUUUCACAAAGAGGGAUUCCAUGAUUACACACAAAGCAAUUCCGUGAUUACAAGUAGGGUGAUUCCAAGUGUUAUAGUGAUGAUUCCAUGUGUUCAUAAUCCAGGCAUUGUUUUCUUGCUGUUGAGAAAUACCGGAGGACAUCAUUUAUAUCACUCAUUUCUUCUAAACAGCUUAUGGAAUACGUUGUCUUGGAUGUCAAUCUCGUUUCAUCUAAAGUCCAUGUUGGAGGGUCAGAGUAUGUAAUGGCUGAUGCACAAGUGGCUUGUGUGACUAAUUUCGAGAAGAACGAUACCAUGUUUAAUGUAAGGACUCAUCUAGGAUAUCUGUUAUGCUCUUGGUUACGAUUUGCAUGCAACUAACAGUAAUGACAUGGAGGUAGAUAAGUAUAAAGAUCUUGUAAUUCCAAAGGUUAUUUUAGUCAAGAAAAAGCUACGAGGAAAGGUUGAAAAAGAAGCGUGGAAAGCCUCAUUCUUUGAAAGCUUAAAUCACUUAAGAUGUAAAAUAGAAUUGAAACUGGCUACCAUGAUUUACGGAACAAAAUCGAAGUGAGUAAGGUAGUCAUUGUGAUGACGAGAGUCAUAGUGAUGAAGAUAGUAAUGGUGAAUGCGGUUUCUUUUUUAUUUCUCAAGUUUUAGUUUAAAUAAUGUUUCCUGUUUUUUUGUUUCCUUAUUUGUUAUUAAAUUCUAUCUCUGUAAGUGUCUAUUUUACACAAGUAUAAGUGUUACACAA